CGUUAGGUAGGAUAAGUUAAAAUCUAUUAAUUUUAGGAAUUAAUAAUAUAAGUUUUUAUCUUAACGU
rnacentral:tRNA from 1 species